rnacentral:lncRNA from 1 species
GGCUGAUCUAAAAAUAAAACAUGGGAUACUUAAAGGGUUUGAGAAGCCCGCAAAAACAAAAAUAGAAAAUGAAGCCUAAAUGAAUGCAGAAAUAGAAUCGUCAUUUCCCAGUCAAAUCAAACAGUCUGGCCUCCAUUAUUUUCCAACUUUUCAUUUCAUAAACGCUAGGCUUUUCAGAUGAUAGCAAUUUCAAAGAAAUCUUAUGCUUUAGCUAUCUUUUUCCGUUUCAUUUCCUCUUCAUCAACUUCCUUCAAUCAGAAUUUUGUGGCCAUCUCCCUCUUAGAUCCGGUGUUCUUCUCUCGUCUCUCCCACCAGGUAUCUUUCUUCCCCUUUUCUUAAUGCCUCUUUCGUUAGGUAUGUGCUUCAACGUUCUCUGUUCUUUGGAUGAAUCGAAAAACAUUUUUUUUGGAAUCGGGUUUUGUUGCUCUGAAUAUCAUCAAUAAUUGCUCCUAGAAUCGAUUUAUCUCUAGCUUUUGUUUUGCAUUUGUUGAUUAUUGUUUUCGAAUCCCCCAUCAUCGUGACUGAGUUUAAGCCCAUGCUUAUGCCUAAUUUGGUUGCCUCUAAACAUGCUAAUGCUUCUGCUACAAAUGGAGAGGAAACGUUGGAGUGAAGAGUAGACUUUGAGACUGUGAUUUCCCCAUUCUGACCUCGGGCUACCAUUCCUGACGCUGAUCUAGAGUUGUUGAUAUCAAAAGCUGCAUCAAACUGUAUAGACUCCCGUAGCUCCACCUCUCUUUGUUCGGAUCUAACGGCCGUAGAGGUAAGUUUUCUUUCUCGCACUCCUUCAAGCUCUAUUAGAUAACUCUGUAUUUUAAAAGCUAGAUCCCUUCCUGAUGUAUACUUCCUCUUGUGGAUCAUUUGAUUUCUCGAGCUCCAGAUAACCCAUAAGGCACAAAAAAAUACUCAGAUCUACUCCUUUGUACCUCUGCUGAAUACCCAGGUGAGCCAUGCCCAUACACUCUGAUCUGCAUGUUCUGUUACCCAUGACAUAUUGAGACUGAUCUAUGCAUCCGUGCUUAUAGGACAUUGCCUAAACACAUGGAAGCUAUCUUCUUCUGCAGAACAGUAUCGUGGACACCUUACAUUAGUGGUCACUCUCUUAUAUCUGAUAUUAACUAGUGAAGGGAUGUAGUUCCAGGAAAUUCGCCAUAUGAGAAUUAGGAUUUUUGUUAGUAAUUGUAAAUUCCAUAAUUUUCUGUAGAAAUCUUUAGUUUCGACCUGUAUUAAAUAGUUAUAAUGAUCCAAGCUAGCUUCUUAUAAUAGUUUGUAGGCACUUCUAACUGUAAAUUCUCCGGAGAGUUCCCCUUUCCACACUUUCAUGUCUUCACAAUCCGUUUUCGCAAGAGGAAUUUGCAGUAUUUUUUGAGAAAUUUCCUUUUGAAAGGUAGUCGAAAUUAACUUUCUUCCACUUCUUGUUUAUGUUAUCAAUAAGAUCAGAAACCACAGCUAACUAACCAUUGUCUCUUUUAUUUUGCCACAUCUCAAGUUCCAUCCCUAGUAUCCAACGAUCAUCCCAUAUAGAUAUUGCGUCUCCUCUCUCGACUCUCCAGAUGAGACCAUCAAGAAGGAGUCCUUUCACUGCCCAAAUACUUCUCUAGGUAAGAGAUGGUAAGUUUCCCAACUGUGAAUUUAGGAAACUGGAUCUUGGGUAAUAUUUAGCUUUAAGUACUCUGGCUAAAAGUGAAUUUGGGUUAUUAAACAAUCGCCAACCCUGCUUGGCUAACAAUGCGAUAUUAAACUUAUUAAAAUUACGAAAACCCAACCCGUCGUUUUCCUUUAAAUAGCAAAGGUUUUUCCAAGAGCACCAAUAGAUUCCCUUUUUUCCUUGAUUCUUUUGCCACCAAUAUCUCGCAACAAUACUCUCCAUUUCUUCACAUAGUGACUUCGGAAGUAGAAAACAAACCAUUGAGUAUGUCGGUAUGGCUUGUAGCACUGCCUUUAUGAAUAUCUCUUUUCCACCUUGCGAUAAAAAACGAGUACUCCAAUUUUCUAUCUGUUGUUCCAAUCUGUCUUUUAAGGCUUGAAAAGAUUGCUUCUUUUUUCGACCUACCAUGUUUGGCAAGCCCAAGUAUCUUUCUGGCUCAUUUGAACUUCGAACUCCCAAUAAAUUGACGAUUAGAUGUCUUUCCUCUUCAAUUAUAUUUUUGCUAAAGAAGACGGUCGAUUUGGAAAAAUUCACACAUUGACCCGAACAUCUUUUAUACCCGCUAAGAAUUUCCUUGAGUACAAAGGCUCCUUUCCUCGAUGCUUCUCCAAAUAAAAUGCAAUCAUCCGUAAAUAGUAAAUGUGUUACCUGUGGACCACUUCUGGUUGCCUUGACUCCCUUUAGAAGACCUUCUCUAGCGUUUAUUCUCAUUAGACUAGAUAGUCCUUCUCCACAUAUUAAGAAGAGAAACGGGCUCAAAGGAUCGCCUUGUCGAAGCCCUCUUGUUGGACGGAAAGUUCUUCCAACACUUACAUUGAGCACUACUUGAUAAGAAACUGUAGACAUGAAAUUCAUGAUAGAGGUGACCCAUUUUUGAUCAAAUCCCAUCCGCAGCAUUGUUUCCUUAAUAAAUCUCCAUUCAACUCUGUCAUAAGCUUUGCUUAUGUCAAGCUUAACCGCCAUGUAUCCCUUUUUCCCCAUUCUUUUUUGUUUAAGUGUGUGCAAUAACUCAUAAGCGAGCAAAAUAUUAUCUGAGAUUAAUUUACCUGGUACGAAGGCACUUUGCGCACUGUCAAUGCAUUUGUCUAUGACACCUCUAAAUCUGUUUGCUAUUGCUUUAGUCAUGAUUUUAUAAAUAACAUUGCAUAAGCUAAUAGGCCUAAAAUGGGUCAUAUUAGAGGGGUUUUUGAUUUUUGGGAUAAGAACAAUAUAAGUUGAGUUAAUUUGACUGACCUCCAUUUCUCCAUUGAUGAGGUGUAGGCAAAAAGCAGCCACCUCAUCUCCUAUAAAGUGCUAACAUUUCUGGUAAAAAAGAGCAGGGAAUCCAUCUUUGCGAGGUGCCUUCGUGGGAUGCAUUUCAAAUAAGGCCUCUCUCACUUCUUCUUUUGUAUAAUUCGCUAUAAGUUUCCUGUUAUCGUCCUCUGAGAUACACCGAUCAAUUCCCGAGAGUAGACGUUCAUAAUUCAUUUGAUUUUCUAAAGAGAACAGAUUUUGAAAAUAGAAUUGUACAAUACCUUUCAUCUCCUGAAUAUCAUUCGUUUCCUGCCCGCUGCUGUUUUGUAGCUUGCUUAUCAAAUUCUUCUUUCUUCUUUGUGUUACUUGACUGUGAAAAAAGGCUGUAUUCCUGUUUCCAAGUUUUAGCCAAUUUAGUCUAGCUCGGUGUUCCCAAUAAGUUUAAUCUUUUUCAAUUUCGAAGUUAAGCUGGAUCUUUGUGUCAAUCAUCUCAGCUAGAUUAGAAUUAUCCCUUUCAGCUUCAAUCAAUGUUGAUAGUUUGGCUGUGAGAAAUUCUUUUCUCCCCUGUUUAUUUCUUUGCACCUGUUUCGCCCAGUUUACAAACCCUUUCUUAAAAGUUUCCAUUUUCUUCAGAAAUUCUCCAGACACCAUCCCCCAUAAAUGUUUAGCUUCAUCGAAAAAUGAGUCUUCCACGAUCCAUGAGGCUUCAAAUUUGAAUUGAUUUGCUUUUUCCCAUUGGUCUUCCUUAUUUGUGUUGACGAAAAUAGGACAAUAAUCAAAAAAAGAGUGUACAAGUGUUCAACUCAUACCGCAGGAAACAUGGAAAUCCAAUUCUUAUUAGCGACACCCCUAUCCAGACGCUCUUGAAUGUUCGUUUCUGGUAAGUUUCCUCUCUCCUAAGUGAACCAUCUACCAGAGUAUCCCACAUUGGAUAGUUGGCAAAAAUCUAAAGCUUCUCGGAACAACUCCAUUCUUCUUUCAUCUCUUGGCAAGCCUCUCUUUUUUUUUUCGAAUUCAUACAUUAUUUCAUUAAAAUCUCCACAGACAAGCCAAGGGGUGUAUUCCUUUUUAUGGAGAUUUUUCAAAACAGUCCAUAAAGCUUCUCUAUCUUGCGCAUAUGGAGUUCUAUAAAAGCCAGUAAAGCGCCAUUUGACAUCUCUUUCAUCAUCAUCCACCACCAUGUCAAUGUGUCUUUUAGAGAAAUUCUAAAGCGUAACAUUGAUAUUAUUUUGCCAUGCUAGACACAAACCUUCUCUAGAGCCCUUCGAAUCAACAUCAAUUCCAUUCCCAAAUCCACAUCUUCGUCUAAUUCUUUCCAUUCGGUUUCUGCAAAGCUUAGUAUCCAUAAAGAAGACAAUUUGGGGAUUAUAAGUCCUCAGCGUAUGCUGAAGCCUUCGAACUAUCCGUAGACUCCCCAAUCCACGGACAUUCUAACUCAGUAUUUUUAUUGCUUCCGGUCGGCUUGCCAUUUGGUAGCCGCCGAUGAUAAAUGAUUAGGAUCCACCAUUCUCCAAUUUGCCAAUAUGUUUCUCAUUUCUUCUCUCCCUGUUAUAUCUUCAUUUUCCCCUCUAGGCCUUUUCGUCCCCUUUUUCCCUACUAGAGCUACAUCUUCUAGAUCCCUGAUCCAUUACAUUAGGGGUUAAAUUCUCCUUUCCUCGUACCGCGUAUAAUGAACCUCCCUCCAAAUUAAAGCCAAGAACUGGAUCAACAGAUUUCCCAUAUUUUAUUUUUCACCCCGGGUGCUUCUGGCCCAUUUUGAGACCUCCAAAUUCUGCAUCAGUUCCUCUGUUAUCGCCAUCUCCUUCCUCCCUUAGCUAGAUAUUGUUUAUUGAUAAUGACUUCCGUGAUUGUGCUCGGAUAGAUAAGUCCUAGCCCAUUUCUGCAAUUUCCAUUCCAAGGUUCAUUUUUGCCUCGCAAAAAAAGUCAUUAUGCUCCAGUCUUCCACAAUAGAAACAGAACAAAGAUAAACGUUCAUAUUUAAAGGUGACAUAUGAACAUUUUCCACCAAAUGAUAUUUUCUUCCUCCUUUUCAAAGGACGCCUUAUGUCGAUUUGAACUCUAAUUCUCAUAAAGUUCUUGUUUUCUUUUCCCAAAUAUGAUACAUCAUGUUCUAUGAAAUUCCCCAAGAAAUUACCUAACUGGGCAGCCAGGAUUUCAGAAAAAAGGCCAAUAGGGACAUCAUGAACCUAAACCCAAAAAGGUAUCAGAACUAGAGGGAGUUGUAGUGGAUCCUCCCCUAAUUCCAAUUUGUAAAGCACCAGCAGAUGGUUAUUAAUGGUCCAAGGCGAACAUUUCAAAACCCUGUUCAUAUCCAUGACAUGAAAGAACUGAAACAAAUACCUUUUUUCUCCCAGAUCACAGAUUCGUACUCCCUUAACCGGAUGCUACAGAUUCGCCAUUGUACUUUUCAUUGCUGGGAAGUGGAUCGUGCUUGCUGUGAGAAAACAUCCUACUAGUUGAGUGGUCUCACCCCUAUUUUCCGUGCUUGGAUCUGUUGGGAUGUGAAUAAUUUCCUCAUCUUCAUCAUUAAUCGACAAUUGGGCUAACUCAUUCUCCAUACUUUGCAGGUAAAAGUUUUUUCAGCUUUUGUGGUUUCACAAUUCCUGUUGCAAGAGAAGGACUUACACAGGCCACAGAUAACAAAGGGGAAAGUAUUAAGGAAAAAACAAAUAAUGAAAAAACUUAAAAACUCUUGCUAGUGGCAGCAGACAAAGGUGUGCUAGGGUAGCAGACUUUUUUUACUUGUGAAUUUGAUAAUGUUUUAUAUUUCAUAUAAUGUUUUUAUAAUUUUUUUAACUUAUAUAACUAAUAUAUAAUAUGUUUUGAAAAUUUUAAAUUUAAUAAUUUUUAUAAUUUUUUAUUUAUUGAAUUUAUAUUUUUUAAAAUGGAUGCCACAUUAUUAAUCGUCAUGUAUAAAGGAAUACCACAUAAUGCAUUCUCAUUGGUUGGGUGUGUCACCUAUCAUUUUUAACACCAUUAACCUCUUUGAACUAAGAUUGUGUUUAGCAAUGCUUAAAAAAAACACUUUUGGCUUAAAAAGUACUUUUGGAAGAAAAUUUAUGUUAAACAAGUAACUUUUGGCCCAAAGGAGUGGCUUUUCAAAAACAUUUUUACUCAAAAGCUAAAUUUUUUAGCUUUUCUUGAGCCAAAAGCACUUCUUGAAACAUUAUUACUUUUUCAUCUCUCUAUUUUUCUUCCCUUAUUUUUCAUUCACUUUAAAUUACAAAUGCUAAUGUAAAUGUUUUAAUGUUUAUAUUUGGUAUAUAAAUAUUAUCCAUUUUUGAAA